GAUGAACGCUGGCGGCGUGCCUAAUACAUGCAAGUCGAGUGAACAGACGAGGAGCUUGCUCCUCUGACGUUAGCGGCGGACGGGUGAGUAACACGUGGAUAACCUACCUAUAAGACUGGGAUAACUUCGGGAAACCGGAGCUAAUACCGGAUAAUAUAUUGAACCGCAUGGUUCAAUAGUGAAAGACGGUUUUGCUGUCACUUAUAGAUGGAUCCGCGCCGCAUUAGCUAGUUGGUAAGGUAACGGCUUACCAAGGCAACGAUGCGUAGCCGACCUGAGAGGGUGAUCGGCCACACUGGAACUGAGACACGGUCCAGACUCCUACGGGAGGCAGCAGUAGGGAAUCUUCCGCAAUGGGCGAAAGCCUGACGGAGCAACGCCGCGUGAGUGAUGAAGGUCUUCGGAUCGUAAAACUCUGUUAUUAGGGAAGAACAAAUGUGUAAGUAACUAUGCACGUCUUGACGGUACCUACUCAGAAAGCCACGGCUAACUACGUG
rnacentral:rRNA from 1 species